UACGAAGGGGGCUAGCGUUGCUCGGAAUCACUGGGCGUAAAGCGCACGUAGGCGGAUUUCUAAGUCGGGGGUGAAAUCCUGGAGCUCAACUCCAGAACUGCCUUCGAUACUGGAAGUCUUGAGUCCGGGAGAGGUGAGUGGAACUGCGAGUGUAGAGGUGAAAUUCGUAGAUAUUCGCAAGAACACCAGUGGCGAAGGCGGCUCACUGGCCCGGUACUGACGCUGAGGUGCGAAAGCGUGGGGAGCGAACAGG
rnacentral:rRNA from 1 species